rnacentral:rRNA from 1 species
GAUGAACGCUGGCGGCGUGCCUAAUACAUGCAAGUCGAGCGAACGGACGAGAAGCUUGCUUCUCUGAUGUUAGCGGCGAACGGGUGAGUAACACGUGGAUAACCUACCUAUAAGACUGGGAUAACUUCGGGAAACCGGAGCUAAUACCGGAUAAUAUUUUGAACCGCAUGGUUCAAAAGUGAAAGACGGUCUUGCUGUCACUUAUAGAUGGAUCCGCGCUGCAUUAGCUAGUUGGUAAGGUAACGGCUUACCAAGGCAACGAUGCAUAGCCGACCUGAGAGGGUGAUCGGCCACACUGGAACUGAGACACGGUCCAGACUCCUACGGGAGGCAGCAGUAGGGAAUCUUCCGCAAUGGGCGAAAGCCUGACGGAGCAACGCCGCGUGAGUGAUGAAGGUCUUCGGAUCGUAAAACUCUGUUAUUAGGGAAGAACAUAUGUGUAAGUAACUGUGCACAUCUUGACGGUACCUAAUCAGAAAGCCACGGCUAACUACGUGCCAGCAGCCGCGGUAAUACGUAGGUGGCAAGCGUUAUCCGGAAUUAUUGGGCGUAAAGCGCGCGUAGGCGGUUUUUUAAGUCUGAUGUGAAAGCCCACGGCUCAACCGUGGAGGGUCAUUGGAAACUGGAAAACUUGAGUGCAGAAGAGGAAAGUGGAAUUCCAUGUGUAGCGGUGAAAUGCGCAGAGAUAUGGAGGAACACCAGUGGCGAAGGCGACUUUCUGGUCUGUAACUGACGCUGAUGUGCGAAAGCGUGGGGAUCAAACAGGAUUAGAUACCCUGGUAGUCCACGCCGUAAACGAUGAGUGCUAAGUGUUAGGGGGUUUCCGCCCCUUAGUGCUGCAGCUAACGCAUUAAGCACUCCGCCUGGGGAGUACGACCGCAAGGUUGAAACUCAAAGGAAUUGACGGGGACCCGCACAAGCGGUGGAGCAUGUGGUUUAAUUCGAAGCAACGCGAAGAACCUUACCAAAUCUUGACAUCCUUUGACAACUCUAGAGAUAGAGCCUUCCCCUUCGGGGGACAAAGUGACAGGUGGUGCAUGGUUGUCGUCAGCUCGUGUCGUGAGAUGUUGGGUUAAGUCCCGCAACGAGCGCAACCCUUAAGCUUAGUUGCCAUCAUUAAGUUGGGCACUCUAAGUUGACUGCCGGUGACAAACCGGAGGAAGGUGGGGAUGACGUCAAAUCAUCAUGCCCCUUAUGAUUUGGGCUACACACGUGCUACAAUGGACAAUACAAAGGGCAGCGAAACCGCGAGGUCAAGCAAAUCCCAUAAAGUUGUUCUCAGUUCGGAUUGUAGUCUGCAACUCGACUACAUGAAGCUGGAAUCGCUAGUAAUCGUAGAUCAGCAUGCUACGGUGAAUACGUUCCCGGGUCU